UACGUAGGGUGCGAGCGUUAAUCGGAAUUACUGGGCGUAAAGCGUGCGUAGGCGGUUUCAUAAGCUUGAUGUGAAAGCCCCGGGCUCAACCUGGGAAUGGCAUUGAGGACUGUGGAGCUAGAGUGCGGCAGAGGGAGGUGGAAUUCCACGUGUAGCAGUGAAAUGCGUAGAGAUGUGGAGGAACACCGAUGGCGAAGGCAGCCUCCUGGGCCGACACUGACGCUGAGGGCACGAAAGCGUGGGGAGCAAACAGG
rnacentral:rRNA from 1 species